rnacentral:tRNA from 1 species
AGGAACUGGCAUCGUCCGAUCGUGCGGACCUGCGCACUCUGGCAUCCUACGUUGAUAAGCACGA